CUUAGGCUUAGGAGUUUGUCAGCAAAAGGCCGCGUGUACGGAGUGGUCUUGGUUAGGCUAAGAGUUAUGAAGAUCAAGGCAACUUUCUUGGUUUCUAAUAUGGGCGAAAAGGACUGAAGAAAACAAGAGGAAAGAGGGAGCUAGAGAAGGACUAGAAAGGAAGGAAGGAAACAAAUAAAUAUAUGAAUAUGAUACCAGAGGGCGAGGUUGAAUACAAUGCUUAAUAAAUCUAGCUAAAAGAUUUUUCAAAGGGCCAAACUUUACCGGCUAAAUACAAGAUCUUUCCAUUCUUGUAUCGAAAACGAAUUUGGACAGUAAACUAUAUUACGUGUCUACUUUUUUAUGGUACGAUUUCCAGGGAUGGAAACUACCACUUUAAUGGCUUGUAGAAUCUUGGAUGUUGUUUUGAUCUUCAUGUCGUAGAAAUAGUCAAUAGUCUAAGGACUUAUUUUGACAGGUUUGGCCUAACAUCCGCUAGUUGCCCCUCGAUCAGUCAACCGCUUGUUUGCCCCAAGUCAACUCCAAAACGUCGCGUGAUUGCAUUGAUAGUAAGCAAUGGGAACCUAAUUCCCAUUUUAGACCAGUUUUAUGCAUGUGUAGCUAUGAAUAAAUUUUAUAAUUUAGCAAUAUUUUUUAAUGAA